UGCACUGAAUGGUAUCUGCACCCAAUGGCAACUUCCUGUUGUGGUGUUCAUUACGCAGUGCAAGAGAAACUCAGCAACUGGCAUCGUUGGUUUUCAGACCUCUUGUGUCUGUGAGCCUGGUUUUUAUGCUGUGACAUUA